rnacentral:rRNA from 1 species
CUACGGGGUGCUGCAGUGGGGAAUAUUGGACAAUGGGGGCAACCCUGAUCCAGCCAUGCCGCGUGUGUGAAGAAGGCCUUUUGGUUGUAAAGCACUUUAAGCAGGGAGGAGAGGCUAAUGGUCAAUACCCAUUAGAUUAGAUGUUACCUGCAGAAUAAGCACCGGCUAACUCUGUGCCAGCAGCCGCGGUAAUACAGAGGGUGCGAGCGUUGAUCGGAAUUACUGGGCGUAAAGCGAGUGUAGGUGGCUCAUUAAGUCACAUGUGAAAUCCACGGGCUUAACCUGGGAACUGCAAGGUGUACUGGUGGUGCUAGAAGAUGAGAGAGGGAAGUAGAAUUCCAGGUGUAGCGGUGAAAUGCGUAGAGAUCUGGAGGAAUACAGAUGGCGAAGGAAGCUUCCUGGCAUAAUAUUGACACUGAGAUUCGAAAGCGUGGGUAGCAAACAGGAUUAGAUACCCGAGUAGUC